rnacentral:rRNA from 1 species
UACGUAGGGUGCAAGCGUUGUCCGGAAUUAUUGGGCGUAAAGGGCGCGUAGGCGGCGCGAUAAGUCAAAGGUGAAAUCCCUCGGCUCAACUGAGGAACUGCCUUUGAAACUGUCGUGCUUGAGUCCGGGAGGGGGUAGCGGAAUUCCCAGUGUAGCGGUGAAAUGCGUAGAUAUUGGGAGGAACACCAGUGGCGAAGGCGGCUACCUGGACCGGUUCUGACGCUGAUGCGCGAAAGCGUGGGAGCAAACAGGG